AAAUUGAAGAGUUUGAUCAUGGCUCAGAUUGAACGCUGGCGGCAGGCCUAACACAUGCAAGUCGAACGGUAACAGGAAACAGCUUGCUGUUUCGCUGACGAGUGGCGGACGGGUGAGUAAUGUCUGGGAAACUGCCUGAUGGAGGGGGAUAACUACUGGAAACGGUAGCUAAUACCGCAUAACGUCGCAAGACCAAAGAGGGGGACCUUCGGGCCUCUUGCCAUCGGAUGUGCCCAGAUGGGAUUAGCUUGUUGGUGGGGUAAAGGCUCACCAAGGCGACGAUCCCUAGCUGG
rnacentral:rRNA from 1 species